UUUGUGGAGGCCCCCUUCUCCUUCUCCUUCUCCGAAAAUGGCUGCAAUCCAGCUUCUCCCCAGAGAAUAUGGCUACGUCGUCCUCGUUCUUGUUCUCUACUCCUUUCUCAAUUUCUGGAUGGCCGGUCAAGUUGGCCGCGCUCGCAAGAAGUAUAAGGUCUUUUACCCUAAUUUGUACGCUCUCGAAUCCGAGAACAAGGAUGCUAAGAUCUUCAAUUGUGUCCAGAGAGGGCACCAGAAUUCGCUGGAAAUGAUGCCUCUCUUCUUCAUGCUUAUGAUUUUGGGAGGAAUUGGGCAUCCUUGCCUUAGCGCUUCGUUUGGGCUUCUCUACGUCGUGGCUCGAUUCUUUUACUUCAAAGGUUACGCCACCGGCUUGCCUGAAAAGCGCCUCACCAUCGGGAAAUUUUCUUUUCUGGGGUUGCUUGGUUUGAUGGUUUGCACAAUCUCGUUUGGUAUUAAGCUUCUUCGUGACUAAGCGCUGAACCUGUUGAGCUUUGCCUGAUGCUGUAGUGUUCUUCAUCUUCCUCGUUCUCUUGGACUUCAAUCUGCUUCUUUUGAUAUUGGAUUUGGGUGUAGUGUUUUGUGUUAUUAAGAUGUUGAAUAAGGAGACUGACUGGUUUUCUGUUCUUUUUUGUUCCCCUCAUGUUCUUAUACAAGUUGUAACUUUUAAAUAAG
rnacentral:misc_RNA from 1 species